GGCAGGGCUCAGCUCUAACUUUAUAAUCAGGUAGUUUAUUGAAAUGACAGGGAUUGCAUUUUAACCUCGAGGCAACUCAACAGCACAGAGCUCCUAAAAGAAGAAGCCAUAGGAUGAAAAAAUACAUGGAUUGAAAUGCAUCAGAUGUCAGGACUGCACUCAGCAGAUAUUUGAGAACCGUUCUUCAAUAUGGAGGAAGAGACCCAUGAAGGCUCAUGUGGCCUGAAAGAAAAGAGGAGUUUAUAUUCAUUCAGGAAUGCAAACUGCCACUAUGGCUCCAUAGCCAGCGAGCCAGAACAGAACCAACCCCUCACCACUAAUAUAAACGACGACAUGCCGUCUCGCCAGAGAUCUUACAUUGCCGUGGCUGUGCUGUGCUACGUGAACCUGCUCAACUAUAUGGACCGCUACACGAUCGCAGGAGUUCUGACUACCCUCCAGAAAUACUUUAACAUUGAUGAUAGCAAAUCUGGACUACUACAGACAGUUUUUAUCUGCAGUUUCAUGCUGCUGGCUCCACUCUUCGGGUACCUUGGAGACCGGUAUAACAGGAAGCUGAUCAUGGUGGGUGGGAUGUUGACAUGGAUUGUCAUAACGCUGGGCAGUUCAUUCAUCACAGAAGAGUACUUCUGGGUGCUGAUCCUCAUGCGAGCCUUGGUUGGCAUUGGAGAGGCCAGUUACUGCACCAUAGCGCCGACUAUUAUCGGAGACCUGUUCAGUGGCUCUCAAAGAACCCUCAUGAUCUCCUUCUUCUAUAUCUUCAUCCCUGUUGGAAGUGGUCUUGGGUACAUUCUGGGAUCCAAAAUUGCUCUUGCUACAGGAGACUGGCGUUGGGCCCUCAGGCUGAACCCAAUUCUUGGGGCACCGGGGGUGCUCCUUCUCAUGUUCCUGACCCCCAACCCUCCACGAGGAGCCUCUGAAACUCAUGGAGAAGCAUGUAUAAAUCGCACAUCGUACCUAGAGGACAUCAAGUAUCUACUCAAGAACCGGAGCUUUGUGUGGUCCACUCUGGGAGUGACUGCUAUGGCUUUCGUCACGGGUGCUUUGGCUUUCUGGACACCCGCCUUUAUGUCUCGUGCUCGAGUCAUCCAGAACAUCAUUCCUGCAUGCUCUAAAGAACCAUGUGAUUCUUCAGACAGUUUAAUCUUUGGGGGAAUCACGGUGGUUACAGGUAUAGUAGGUGUUUUCCUCGGCUCCUUGAUAUCUAGGAAACUGAAAGACAGAGUGUCCAAUGCUGACCCACUCAUCUGCGCUGUGGGAAUGCUUGGUUCUUCCCCCUGCUUGUUCAUCGCCAUGGUCCUGGCAUCCAUCAGCAUUCCUGCCACAUAUACUUUUAUUGCUAUUGGAGAAAUCCUACUUUCUCUGAACUGGGCUAUUCUAGCUGACAUCCUACUGUAUGUUGUUAUACCAACCCGAAGGGCAACAGCUGAAGCUUUACAAAUUUUAACAUGUCACCUCCUUGGCGAUGCAUUUAGUCCAUUCAUCAUUGGUGGAAUCUCAGAUACUCUGAGUAAACAGAAUCCCAACUCUCGUGAAUGGAAGUUCCGCAGUCUGGAGUACAGCAUCAUUGUCUGCCCUUUCAUCGGUGUUCUGGGAGGCCUGUUCUUCCUCUUGACUGCCCUCUAUAUCAAAGAGGACAGGAAAGCUGCCGAGAUGCUGACGAAAGGAUGCCGUGUGCUCCGGACCAAAGACAGAAAUGACUGUCCAGGCUGUUACCAGCAACAAGUCCAAAAGCCAGGGUCUGUCAUGGUAUGGGGUUGUGUUGGUGCCCUUGGGAAAGGGAUAUUUCAACAAGACAAUGCAAAACCACAUUUUGCACACAUUACAAAGGCAUGGCUGUGGAAGAAGAGGGUGCCUGUCCCCUCUGUCUCCAGUAGAGAACAUGUGGUGAAAUUAUUUUUUUUUUUGAAACAAAAGAUGACAACGACAACUCCGUAGUUGUUGCACAAUUUAAGACCUGAAGGAUGGGACAAAAUAACACCUGAAACGCUUCAUCACUUGGUGUCUUCAGUCCCUAAACAUCUUUUAAGUGUUGUGAGAAGGAAUGGCAACAUAUAUAAAGUGGAGAAACUCCAGACCAAGCUGAACCCAUCACAGAGUCGAGCUGACCAAGGAGCACACACUCAAGUGCACAUGAGACGAUUGGAGAAAAAUUUGAACCAAUGGAGUUUUGUAAAUAUUGCAGUGAUUUCCUUUUAACAUGUUCUAAUAAAAAUUUUUUUUAUUGUUGUCUUUUUUAAUGUACACUUGUGCAGUUAUGUAUCGUAUAGUAUAGUUGUGCUAAAUGGUACUUUCUGAUACUGGAUGAUUGUUUCUACUGCUACAGGUUCUUUAAUCCCACCAGCUGUAACAUCUAACUCGGCUUUCAGACUUUAUUUGAUAUCCUGAAUGAAGGAUAACUUAAUUUCAGUCGCUCCUGUAACUAUCCUGUGAUCUAUAAUAAACACAGUUAAACUUUA